UGAGGGAAUAUUGGGUCAAUGGGCGAGAGCCUGAACCAGCCAAGUCGCGUGAAGGAUGAAGGUUCUAUGGAUUGUAAACUUCUUUUAUUCGAGGGUAAAGUGAGGUAUGUAUACCUUAUUGCAAGUAUCGAAUGAAUAAGCAUCGGCUAACUCCGUGCCAGCAGCCGCGGUAAUACGGAAGAUGCGAGCGUUAUCCGGAUUUAUUGGGUUUAAAGGGAGCGUAGGCGGGCUGUUAAGUCAGCGGUCAAAUGUCAGGGCCCAACUUUGGCAUGCCGUUGAUACUGGCGGCCUUGAGUUCACACAAGGAAGGUGGAAUUCGUCGUGUAGCGGUGAAAUGCUUAGAUAUGACGAAGAACUCCGAUUGCGAAGGCAGCCUUCUGGGGUGUUACUGACGCUGAGGCUCGAAAGUGCGGGAAUCAAACAGGAUUAGAUACCCUGGUAGU
rnacentral:rRNA from 1 species